rnacentral:piRNA from 4 species
GUAAUGGUUAGCACUCUGGACUCU